GACGAACGCUGGCGGCGCGCUUAACACAUGCAAGUCGAACGGAAAGGCCUGCUUUCCCUUGUGGAUUGCGGGUACUCGAGUGGCGAACGGGUGAGUAACACGUGAGUGAUCUGCCCCCAACUUGGGUAUAAGCCUGGGAAACUGGGUCUAAUUCCCGAUAGGACUGCAGGGUGGUGCCUGUGGUGGAAAACGAUUUUCUAGUGGUUGGGGAUGAGCUCGCGGCCUAUCAGCUUGUUGGUGGGGUAAUGGCCUACCAAGGCGGCGACGGGUAGCCGGCCUGGGAGGGUGGACGGCCACAUUGGGACUGAGAUACGGCCCAGACUCCUACGGGAGGCAGCAGUGGGGAAUAUGGCACAAUGGGCGGAAGCCUGAUGCAGCGACGCCGCGUGGGGGAUGACGGCCUUCGGGUUGUAAACUCCUUUCGACCGCGAGGAAGCCACCUGGUUGGAAGGGUGGUGACGGUAGUGGUAGAAGAAGCACCGGCUAACUACGUG
rnacentral:rRNA from 1 species